AGUGGCGAACGGGUGAGUAACACGUGGGUAACCUGCCCAUCAGAAGGGGAUAACACUUGGAAACAGGUGCUAAUACCGUAUAACAAUCGAAACCGCAUGGUUUUGAUUUGAAAGGCGCUUUCGGGUGUCGCUGAUGGAUGGACCCGCGGUGCAUUAGCUAGUUGGUGAGGUAACGGCUCACCAAGGCCACGAUGCAUAGCCGACCUGAGAGGGUGAUCGGCCACAUUGGGACUGAGACACGGCCCAAACUCCUACGGGAGGCAGCAGUAGGGAAUCUUCGGCAAUGGACGAAAGUCUGACCGAGCAACGCCGCGUGAGUGAAGAAGGUUUUCGGAUCGUAAAACUCUGUUGUUAGAGAAGAACAAGGAUGAGAGUAACUGUUCAUCCCUUGACGGUAUCUAACCAGAAAGCCACGGCUAACUACGUGCCAGCAGCCGCGGUAAUACGUAGGUGGCAAGCGUUGUCCGGAUUUAUUGGGCGUAAAGCGAGCGCAGGCGGUUUCUUAAGUCUGAUGUGAAAGCCCCCGGCUCAACCGGGGAGGGUCAUUGGAAACUGGGAGACUUGAGUGCAGAAGAGGAGAGUGGAAUUCCAUGUGUAGCGGUGAAAUGCGUAGAUAUAUGGAGGAACACCAGUGGCGAAGGCGGCUCUCUGGUCUGUAACUGACGCUGAGGCUCGAAAGCGUGGGGAGCAAACAGGAUUAGAUACCCUGGUAGUCCACGCCGUAAACGAUGAGUGCUAAGUGUUGGAGGGUUUCCGCCCUUCAGUGCUGCAGCUAACGCAUUAAGCACUCCGCCUGGGGAGUACGACCGCAAGGUUGAAACUCAAAGGAAUUGACGGGGGCCCGCACAAGCGGUGGAGCAUGUGGUUUAAUUCGAAGCAACGCGAAGAACCUUACCAGGUCUUGACAUCCUUUGACCACUCUAGAGAUAGAGCUUCCCCUUCGG
rnacentral:rRNA from 1 species